GGCUCAGGACGAACGCUGGCGGCGUGCUUAACACAUGCAAGUCGAACGAUGAACCACUUCGGUGGGGAUUAGUGGCGAACGGGUGAGUAACACGUGGGCAAUCUGCCCUUCACUCUGGGACAAGCCCUGGAAACGGGGUCUAAUACCGGAUAACACUCUCGCAGGCAUCUGUGAGGGUUAAAAGCUCCGGCGGUGAAGGAUGAGCCCGCGGCCUAUCAGCUUGUUGGUGAGGUAAUGGCUCACCAAGGCGACGACGGGUAGCCGGCCCGAGAGGGCGACCGGCCACACUGGGACUGAGACACGGCCCAGACUCCUACGGGAGGCAGCAGUGGGGAAUAUUGCACAAUGGGCGAAAGCCUGAUGCAGCGACGCCGCGUGAGGGAUGACGGCCUUCGGGUUGUAAACCUCUUUCAGCAGGGAAGAAGCGAAAGUGACGGUACCUGCAGAAGAAGCGCCGGCUAACUACGUGCCAGCAGCCGCGGUAAUACGUAGGGCGCAAGCGUUGUCCGGAAUUAUUGGGCGUAAAGAGCUCGUAGGCGGCUUGUCACGUCGAUUGUGAAAGCCCGAGGCUUAACCUCGGGUCUGCAGUCGAUACGGGCUAGCUAGAGUGUGGUAGGGGAGAUCGGAAUUCCUGGUGUAGCGGUGAAAUGCGCAGAUAUCAGGAGGAACACCGGUGGCGAAGGCGGAUCUCUGGGCCAUUACUGACGCUGAGGAGCGAAAGCGUGGGGAGCGAACAGGAUUAGAUACCCUGGUAGUCCACGCCGUAAACGGUGGGAACUAGGUGUUGGCGACAUUCCACGUCGUCGGUGCCGCAGCUAACGCAUUAAGUUCCCCGCCUGGGGAGUACGGCCGCAGGGCUAAAACUU
rnacentral:rRNA from 1 species